rnacentral:rRNA from 1 species
CCUACGGGGGGCUUCAGUGAGGAAUAUUGGUCAAUGGGCUUACGCCUGAACCAGCCAAGUCGCGUGAGGGAAGACUGCCCUAUGGGUUGUAAACCUCUUGUGUCAGGGAGCAACGCCGGCUACGUGUAGCCGGACGGAGAGGACCUGAAGAAAAAGCAUCGGCUAACUCCGUGCCAGCAGCCGCGGGAAUACGGAGGAUGCGAGCGUUAUCAGGAUUUAUUGGGUUGAAAGGGGGCGUAGGCGGAAUGCCAAGUCAGCGGUAAAAUCGCGGGGCUCAACCUCGCUCCGCCGUUGAAACUGGCGUUCUUGAGUGGGCGAGAAGUAUGCGGCAUGCGUGGUGUAGCGGUGACAUGCAUAGAUAUCACGCAGAACUCCGAUUGCGAAGGCAGCAUACCGGCGCCCAACUGACGCUGACGCACGAAAGCGUGGGUAUCGAACAGGAUUAGAUACCCCGGUAGUC